GUCAUAGAUGGCUUUUAUUACAUUAAGAGAGCCUAGAAAAUAUCACCUAGUGAAUAUCUACUUCCAUGAGGUGGAUAUUGAGGGAGAAACAGAAAAAUCCAAGACAAUCCCUUGUGGAAGAAAAUUCUCCAACCCAAAACUCAACCGAACUCAAAGGGCUGAACAGCGCGUCAAUUAAGACCUGUCAAAUAUAAUCACACGAUCUAAUAGUUUUAAAUACGCAAAAUAAAGAGCACCAAAGUAAAUGUCAUUCAGAAAUAACAACAACAAAACCAGAGCACCCCGAUGCAUUUAGGCCUCAAGGAAUUCCAAAGUAGUGUAUUAGGUAUAGUAAAUAUAUAUGUAAUUAGAAAUGUUUAGAGAAAUUAGAGAGAUGUGUUUUUUUUAAAAGAUUUGGCCUAUAAAACAGUUAACAAUUCCAGUAAAGAAGAAAACAGAAAUUCAAUGUUUGAUAUACAUACAUAAAAAUAAAUUUCAGGAAAAGUCCGUGUGAUAACAGAAUCCAAAUUAUAUAAAAGAUAGAAAUCUCAAUGUUUGUUUUUACACAUUUUAAGGAAAAAACAACCCUGAAAGCACAAAAUGCAGAAAAUAAUGUUAAUAAGUCUUGAGUUUUGAAGUCCCUCUCACUGGCUUUGGCACUUAGAGAAGAGCUAGCACAGGCUCAGGAUCCCCUAAUGGGCAUUUCUGCCAAGGAGACCAUCCUCAUGAAAAUGGAGCCGAAAGCUAUGCGCACAAGAUGGAUGGAUGCUCCUCUCCCAGAGACCAGCAGGUGCAGGUGUGCAGGGAGUGGGCCAGGGAGGGGC
rnacentral:lncRNA from 1 species